rnacentral:lncRNA from 1 species
GGAUGUGCAUAACUUAAAAAGAGAUGUAAAGUGUUGUAAAUAAGAUGGCUGAUGAAGGUACAGUAAGACUGACCCAAUUUUGUAUUCAGGGUUAGGCCAUUCCUCUCUGCAUGGUGAAGAGAGACACUAUUUUUAUACUGUGAUACCAUGUAGGGCUAGGAACCUCCCUGAACCAGCUGGGAAUUGUUACCUAGAUCCAAUAUUUUUUAUUAUUAAAUCUUGUUGGCUCAACACAUCUACUGAUUGAAAUGGAUGUCUUAGUCUAGGUUACUAUUUUUGUCACAUGGAAUUGAAUAAAAUGCAGGAUGUAAUAUUAUUUUUGAAUUGUGUUCCAUGAUUAUUCCAAUAACAGAGUGAGAUACAAGAGUAAGGCAAUCUCUGGCAGUUUGAUGUCAAUGACUUUUAAUUCUUGGAUGUGAAAACUUGGCAGCUUGUAUUUACAUUAUUUGAACACAUCCAAGUGGAUAGAUAUUGGCAAGUCAAGUGGAUGGAUAUUGGAAAGUAAAAAUCACAUACAUUUACUGUACCAGCAACAACAACAAAAGCUGUAUCAAAAUGACUGUGCCUUGGAACAGCCCUCUUUAGCUGACUCCCUUGGAAGUCAUCAUUCUAUUAAAUUCAAUUUAUACAAAUAACACAGUGUAUUUAUUCUCAACGUGAACCAAGGAUUCAGUGAUGCACACAAUGAACAGUGCAUGUCCGAAUGUAAUAUUUCCCCUCCUGCAGUUUUUAUUUCAGUGUUGAUUCUUGUAGAUUCAAAGCUAGUACUGAAACAAAAACUGCAAGAAAACAUAAGGGAAGCAGACCUAAAAUGUAUAUUAUAAUUCUUAUUGCAACAUAAAAUUUUGAAUUAAUUCAUACAUUGAAUUACCCAUAAGAGCUUUGAAACGGAUGGUGCAACAUUAGGACAGAAAUUGACCUUGGGAAGGGGGCUUUUAUUUAUUAUUAGCAUGUGUUAAUUUCAGUUCUGCUUGAAGUGCUCAGAGCAAUGUGCAAUGUAAAACCCAAUAAAUCAGUAUUUUAAAUAAUCUAAAACA